UGAGUGUGCCUGAGCUCAGCCAUUCCUGCGUUUUCGAGUGGCCAUGGCUCAACCAAGACAGUGAAGGAAAGAAAAAUCUCAAAAGAUCCUCUAGCAAGAUCCCUUGAAUUGCAGAAACCCAGGAGUUAAACUGCAAAACCUAACCUCAGCAGCCACGGAUCCAAUACAGCACAGGAGGGGCUGCACAAGCUGGAAUCUUCUUUGACUUAAGAAUUUUCAUCGUUAAUCAUUCAGAGUUGUGCAAAUGAGCCCUGGAGAUGGGAAAGCAAAGAGGCUUAUUCCACCUGUGUGGGGGGACUCCAACUCAGUGCUGCUUGGGAAGGGUCUCAAAUGGAGUAAGACAGCAAACAAAAUAUUCCACAGACUUCUUACAAUGAGUUAACUGUGGGUAGACAUGACACCUCUCCUAAUGACCAACUAUUUGAUGAAAA